GUGGCUGGCUGCUAUAAUGCAGUCGAGCGGAUUGAUGGGAGCUUGCUCCCUGAUAUCAGCGGCGGACGGGUGAGUAACACGUGGGUAACCUGCCUGUAAGACUGGGAUAACUCCGGGAAACCGGGGCUAAUACCGGAUAACUCAUUUCCUCGCAUGAGGAAAUGUUGAAAGGUGGCUUCUGCUAUCACUUACAGAUGGACCCGCGGCGCAUUAACUAGUUGGGGAGGUAACGGCUCACCAAGGGAACGAUGCGUAGCCGAACUGAAAGGGUGAUCGGCCACCCUGGGACUGAAACACGGCCCAAACUCCUACGGGAGGGAGCAGUAGGGAAUCUUCCGCAAUGGACGAAAGUCUGACGGAACAACCCCCCGUGAGUGAUGAAGGUUUUCGGAUCGUAAAGCUCUGUUGUUAGGGAAGAACAAGUGCCGUUCCAAUAGGGCGGCACCUUGACGGUACCUAACCAGAAAGCCACGGCUAACUACCUGCCAGCAGCCGCGGUAAUACCUAAGUGGCAAGCGUUGUCCGGAAUUAUUGGGCGUAAAGCGCGCGCAGGUGGUUCCUUAAGUCUGAUGUGAAAGCCCACGGCUCAACCGUGGAAGGUCAUUGGAAACUGGGGAACUUGAGUGCAGAAGAAGAAAGUGGAAUUCCAAGUGUAGCGGUGAAAUGCGUAGAUAUUUGGAGGAACACCAGUGGCGAAAGCGACUUUCUGGUCUGUAACUGACACUGAAGCGCGAAAGCGUGGGGAGCAAACAAGAUUAGAUACCCUGGUAGUCCACGCCGUAAACGAUGAGUGCUAAGUGUUAGGGGGUUUCCGCCCCUUAGUGCUGCAGCUAACGCAUUAAGCACUCCGGCCUGGGGAGUACGGUCGCCAGACUGAAACUUCAAGGAUUGACGGGGCCGCACAGCGGUGGAGCAUGUGGUUAUCGAGCACGCGAGACUUACAGUCUGACAUCUCUGACACCCUAGAGAUAGGGCUUCCCCUCGGGGACGGGUGACAGUGUGCAUGUGUCGUCAGCUCGUGU
rnacentral:rRNA from 1 species